GAUGAAGAACGUAGCGAAAUGCGAAAAGUAAUGUGAAUUGCAGAAUUCAGUGAAUCAUCGAAUCUUUGAACGCACAUUGCGCCCGCCAGUAUUCUGGCGGGCAUGCCUGUUCGAGCGUCAUUUCAACCAUCAAGCCCCCGGCUUGUGUUGGGGACCUGCGGCUGCCGCAGGCCCUGAAAUGCAGUGGCGGGCUCGCUGUCACUCCGAGCGUAGUAGUUACAUCUCGCUCUGGGCGUGCUGCGGGUUCCGGCCGUUAAAAGCCUUAUUUACCCAAGGUUGACCUCGGAUCAGGUAGGAAGACCCGCUGAACUUAAGCAUAUCAAUAAGCGGAGGA
rnacentral:misc_RNA from 1 species